AAUGGGUCAGCGACUUAUAUUCUGUAGCAAGGUUAACCGAAUAGGGGAGCCGAAGGGAAACCGAGUCUUAACUGGGCGUUAAGUUGCAGGGUAUAGACCCGAAACCCGGUGAUCUAGCCAUGGGCAGGUUGAAGGUUGGGUAACACUAACUGGAGGACCGAACCGACUAAUGUUGAAAAAUUAGCGGAUGACUUGUGGCUGGGGGUGAAAGGCCAAUCAAACCGGGAGAUAGCUGGUUCUCCCCGAAAGCUAUUUAGGUAGCGCCUCGUGAAUUCAUCUCCGGGGGUAGAGCACUGUUUCGGCAAGGGGGUCAUCCCGACUUACCAACCCGAUGCAAACUGCGAAUACCGGAGAAUGUUAUCACGGGAGACACACGGCGGGUGCUAACGUCCGUCGUGAAGAGGGAAACAACCCAGACCGCCAGCUAAGGUCCCAAAGUCAUGGUUAAGUGGGAAACGAUGUGGGAAGGCCCAGACAGCCAGGAUGUUGGCUUAGAAGCAGCCAUCAUUUAAAGAAAGCGUAAUAGCUCACUGGUCGAGUCGGCCUGCGCGGAAGAUGUAACGGGGCUAAACCAUGCACCGAAGCUGCGGCAGCGACGCUUAUGCGUUGUUGGGUAGGGGAGCGUUCUGUAAGCCUGUGAAGGUGUGCUGUGAGGCAUGCUGGAGGUAUCAGAAGUGCGAAUGCUGACAUAAGUAACGAUAAAGCGGGUGAAAAGCCCGCUCGCCGGAAGACCAAGGGUUCCUGUCCAACGUUAAUCGGGGCAGGGUGAGUCGACCCCUAAGGCGAGGCCGAAAGGCGUAGUCGAUGGGAAACAGGUUAAUAUUCCUGUACUUGGUGUUACUGCGAAGGGGGGACGGAGAAGGCUAUGUUGGCCGGGCGACGGUUGUCCCGGUUUAAG
rnacentral:rRNA from 1 species